rnacentral:misc_RNA from 1 species
CUGCGCUUGCCUUGUUUAGAAGAACCGCCCCUCUUCUUUAAAGAACCUCCCACGUCGCCUUCCUCUCUCUCCUUCAUCGUCGUUAUAUAAGCGAAUACGUUCUGCUUCUCAAUCCCGUGUUCGAACGGAUCCGGAACUAUGUCUACUGCUGAUAAAACCCCGCCGCCACCAAAACAGUGGACGAUGAGGCCCGUCGAGGUGCGAUCUGUUUGGGCUGAUAAUCUCGAAUCUGAAUUCAAGCUGAUCCGAUCUUUAAUCGACAGUUACCCGCUGAUCUCAAUGGAUACGGAGUUUCCUGGCAUUGUAGUCCGACCCACUGCUGAUGAUCCAUAUAACAGGUGCCGUGAUCCUAAAGCCCAUUACCUGAACUUGAAGGGCAACGUCGAUAUGUUGAAUUUGAUCCAAGUCGGCCUUACAAUUGCAGAUCAAGAAGGCAGUCUGCCGGAUCUUGGUACGAAUAUUUGCUAUAUUUGGGAAUUCAAUUUUCGCGAUUUUGAUGUGUCGCGGGACGCACACUCGCACGACUCGGUCGAAAUGUUAAGAAGCCAAGGCAUCGAUUUUGAGAAGAAUCGGCAUUGCGGUGUGGACUCCGUGAAAUUCGCUGAACUAAUGAUGUCUUCGGGACUCGUCUUGAACGACUCAGUGAGUUGGGUAGCGUUUCACGGCGCUUAUGAUUUCGGCUACCUAGUCAAGUGCUUGACUCAGCGAGCCCUACCUGGGGAAUUAACGCAGUUUCUUGACAUAGUGAGGUUGUUUUUCGGAGAUAGGGUUUAUGAUGUGAAGCAUUUGAAUCGGUUCUGCGAUUUGUAUGGCGGGUUGGACCGAGUUGGGAAGGCACUGGGUGUGGAGCNGCACCAGGCCGGGUCGGAUAGCUUGUUGACGCUCCACGCUUUUCAGAAGAUUAGAGAGAAUCACUUUAAGGAUAAAACAAUAGACAAGUACGCCAAUGUUUUGUAUGGUUUAGAGGUGUUUGCAUGAACAUGAAUUUGAUUCCCUGUUGAUUGAUUGUAGAUUUCUCUUCUUUCUGUCGUAGAAAGUGGAUUCUUAUUGUACACAGUUUUAACAAAUAUUAAUAGACGACUACUAUUAA